GACGAACGCUGGCGGCGUGCUUAACACAUGCAAGUCGAACGGUAAGGCCCCACCUUGCUGGGGCGCACGAGUGGCGAACGGGUGAGUAACACGUGAGCAACCUGCCCCUGACUCUGGGAUAACUGCUGGAAACGGCGGCUAAUACUGGAUAGGAGCUCCGUCCGCAUGGUCGCUUUCUGAAAGGUUCGGCGGUUGGGGAUGGGCUCGCGGCCUAUCAGCUUGUUGGUGGGGUAAUGGCUUACCAAGGCGUCGACGGGUAGCCGGCCUGAGAGGGCGACCGGCCACACUGGGACUGAGACACGGCCCAGACUCCUACGGGAGGCAGCAGUGGGGAAUAUUGCACAAUGGGCGGAAGCCUGAUGCAGCGACGCCGCGUGAGGGAUGACGGCCUUCGGGUUGUAAACCGCUUUCAGCAGGGAAGAAGCGAAAGUGACGGUACCGGCAGAAGAAGCACCGGCUAACUACGUG
rnacentral:rRNA from 1 species